rnacentral:rRNA from 1 species
CCUACGGGGUGCAGCAGUGAGGAAUAUUGGUCAAUGGGAGAGAUCCUGAACCAGCCAAGCCGCGUGAGGGAAGACGGCCCUAUGGGUUGUAAACUUCUUUUGUCAAGGGACAAAAUCAGGCUCGAGAGCCUGACCGAGGGUACUUGAAGAAAAAGCAUCGGCUAAGUCCGUGCCAGCAGCCGCGGUAAUACGGAGGAUGCGAGCGUUAUCCGGAUUUAUUGGGUUUAAAGGGUGCGUAGGCGGACUGUUAAGUCAGCGGUGAAAGCCCGGGGCUCAACCCCGGCGAGCCGUUGAAACUGGCUGUCUUGGGAUGUCGAGAGGUAUGGGGAAUGCGCAGGGUAGCGGUGAAAUGCUUAGAUAUUGCGCAGAACUCCGAUUGCGAAGGCAGCAUACCGGCGGCGAUCUGACGCUGAGGCACGAAAGCGUGGGUAUCGAACAGGAUUAGAUACCCCUGGUAGUC